rnacentral:rRNA from 1 species
GAUGAACGCUGGCGGCGUGCUUAACACAUGCAAGUCGAACGGUGAAGGAGAGCUUGCUCUUUGGAUCAGUGGCGAACGGGUGAGUAACACGUGAGCAAUCUGCCCCUGACUCUGGGAUAAGCGUUGGAAACGACGUCUAAUACCGGAUACGAGCUGCGACCGCAUGGUCAGCAGUUGGAAAGAAUUUCGGUCAGGGAUGAGCUCGCGGCCUAUCAGCUUGUUGGUGAGGUAAUGGCUCACCAAGGCGUCGACGGGUAGCCGGCCUGAGAGGGUGACCGGCCACACUGGGACUGAGACACGGCCCAGACUCCUACGGGAGGCAGCAGUGGGGAAUAUUGCACAAUGGGCGCAAGCCUGAUGCAGCAACGCCGCGUGAGGGACGACGGCCUUCGGGUUGUAAACCUCUUUUAGCAAGGAAGAAGCGAAAGUGACGGUACUUGCAGAAAAAGCGCCGGCUAACUACGUGCCAGCAGCCGCGGUAAUACGUAGGGCGCAAGCGUUAUCCGGAAUUAUUGGGCGUAAAGAGCUCGUAGGCGGUUUGUCGCGUCUGCUGUGAAAUCCCGAGGCUCAACCUCGGGUCUGCAGUGGGUACGGGCAGACUAGAGUGCGGUAGGGGAGAUUGGAAUUCCUGGUGUAGCGGUGGAAUGCGCAGAUAUCAGGAGGAACACCGAUGGCGAAGGCAGAUCUCUGGGCCGUAACUGACGCUGAGGAGCGAAAGGGUGGGGAGCAAACAGGCUUAGAUACCCUGGUAGUCCACCCCGUAAACGUUGGGAACUAGUUGUGGGGUCCAUUCCACGGAUUCCGUGACGCAGCUAACGCAUUAAGUUCCCCGCCUGGGGAGUACGGCCGCAAGGCUA